UGCUGGGAACAGCCGCUCUAG
rnacentral:piRNA from 1 species